rnacentral:rRNA from 1 species
UACGGGGGGGGGGCAAGCGUUUGUUCGGAAUUACUGGGCGUAAAGGGCUCGUAGGUGGCCAACUAAGUCAGACGUGAAAUCCCUCGGCUUAACCGGGGAACUGCGUCUGAUACUGGAUGGCUUGAGUUCGGGAGAGGGAUGCGGAAUUCCAGGUGUAGCGGUAGAAAUGCGUAGAUAUCUGGAGGAACACCGGUGGCGAAGGCGGCAUCCUGGACCGACACUGACACUGAGGUGCGAAAGCGUGGGGAGCAAACAGGG